rnacentral:rRNA from 1 species
AACGAACGCUGGCGGCAGGCUUAACACAUGCAAGUCGAACGCCCCGCAAGGGGAGUGGCAGACGGGUGAGUAACACGUGGGGAUCUGCCCAAUGGUACGGAAUAGCUCCGGGAAACUGGAAUUAAUACCGUAUAAGCCCGCAAGGGGAAGGAUUUGUCGCCAUUGGAUGAACCCGCGUCGGAUUAGCUAGUUGGUGGGGUAAAGGCCUACCAAGGCGACGAUCCGUAGCUGGUCUGAGAGGAUGAUCAGCCACACUGGGACUGAGACACGGCCCAGACUCCUACGGGAGGCAACAGUGGGGAAGAUUGGACAAUGGGCGCAAGCCUGAUCCAGCCAUGCCGCGUGAGUGAUGAAGGCCUUAGGGUUGUAAAGCUCUUUCGCCGACGAAGAUAAUGACGGUAGUCGGAGAAGAAGCCCCGGCUAACUUCGUGCCAGCCGCCGCAUAAUAC